CACCCGGGAUGCACACGCGGCGCUUCCUCGGCAGUUCGCUAUAACGCCGGCUGUGAUUCGGUCGCUAUGUAGGAGAGCCUCCUCGACCCAGGGGCUUAAAAAUCAGCCUCGGGAACAGUAUAGUUUCCUAGCCAGAGCUGAUAAAAGGCAUCGACUCUCUCCCCGCAAGCGAAGCACCACCAGGACCUCGGAGCAGAAAGAGCCUCCGUUUUACGAUGUCGUUUGUGGGUUUUCGUAUCAUGUCUCGUCGACUCGGCUCUCAGUUGAGCGUGAGCCUCCUCGCUACACACACGCGUUGCCUUUCCUCUCACACCGCCAAGAUGGACCAGCGUGUGAUUACUUUGGAGAAUAUGAAUCCUUUGGUG